rnacentral:lncRNA from 1 species
AGCUGCGCUUGACCAAUGUGUCAUUGGCAACAAUGGACUUCAUGUUGUUUCCUUAGGAUGAUCCUUAGGAAUGAAUGAAUGAGAAAUAGCUGAUUCUUAGGGUAGAUCCUUAAGAAUAAAGAAGAUAAUGGGGAUGGGUAAUUGGGUUGAUUGUUUGAUUGUUUAAACAUAAUAAUUAUAUUAUUGUGGGUUGAAAACCCUAUGUACUCACCAGGUUUCCCAACCUGACCCACUCAGUUUAUUUAUAUCACAGGUGUUGAUAUGAAGUGACAUUACACUGAGAGAUUUAAAGAGAUGUAGAUCACUAGUGUAAAUAAUUGUAAGUUCUGUUUAUGCUUAUGUUUCUGUAUUAACGAUGACAUCCCAAACGUUUUAAAAUGAAAUAAAUACGUUUCUUCGAAAAUGUUUUAAUAACGUAUUUACCAUGUUUUUCUGGGAACAAAUUCCGCAACAUUUUUAUAAAAUGAAGUACUCUGAUUUUUAUAAAGCAUAAACAACAUCGGUCUUUUCUGGCCGUGAAAAUGGGGAUGUCACAGUUGGUAUCAGAGCAUUAGUUUAAGCGAACUAGGAAUAUGGAUUUAUUUCUAGACUUAAACUUAGAAUGCUAAGCGAUGAUUGUGAGGUGUGAGCACUAGCUUAUUUUAGGAAUUGUGCCUAAAAUGCUUUUAUGUGCUAAAUGCUUGUGCCUGAUAUGCUGUUAUUUGUUCGGAUCUAUGGUUUGUUGCCGACCGGAUCUGGAAACCUUAUGUGUUUAGGAUUCUAAGCGUUUAACUACGAUAUUAGAACUAGCAUAUAAACGUUUCGGAGUGAUAAGAAUGAUUUAAACGUCAAUCCUAAGUAAAGGUCUAGAUUCACCUUAUUCGGCGUAUAGAUCAAGAUGGCAAGAACCCGUAGCGGAAACGUGAAUGCAAAUGGGAACCGAGAUCAACCCCCAGCGAUUGAGCAAAUACCGGUUGUGGUAGCCGCUGCUGAGCCAAUAACGAUGGCAGGAGUGCAAGCGAUGAUCCAAGCAAUGUUGGAUCGUCAAAUGGAGGAAACCAGACGUUUGCUCCAGCAAAAUCGAGAGGAAGCGACUAUUCAGAUCGAACAGCCCAAGUUGAACGAAGGGCAGACUGAGGAAGGAAACUACAGUGGGACUGUUGGUCAAGUCAACCCACCAAUAGUUCGACAAAACAACCAAGAUGACGAAGUCGAGAGGAAUGGAUGCAAGUACAAGGAUUUUCUGACUUGCAAGCCAUCGACUUUCACUGGAAAGGAGGAUCCGAUCGGGGUCAUGGAUUGGAUCUCGGAGAUGGAAUUAGCUUUCAUGACGUGCGGUUGCAAGGGAAAACAACAGACCACGUUUGCAGUGCGUCAGUUUCGAGGAGGUGUUGUACGAUGGUGGAAUACCUUGGGAAAGACGCUGAGCCCCAAUGAGCCCCUGCAACUGACAUGGGUAGAAUUUCUGGUGCAUUUCAAACGUAGGUACUGCUCAGCCCAAAAUCUGCUCGAGCUAGAAAACCAAUUCCUUACCUUAAAGAAAGGAAGCAUGUCUAUUGAUGAAUACACCAACAACUUCACAGAGAAGAUGGAGUUCGCCUUACGUCUUGUUCCGGAUGAGCUGACAAAAAUUGACAAGUACGCAAAAGGACUUCCAUGGGAAUAUGCAGUGCCAGUGCGUCAGGCACCUACUUUGGAGGCAGCUAUCUGGGCUGCCAAGUCGGUUGAGGAGAUGAUCAAGGGAAGAGCCGCCAACAAGACCGAGGUUGGCGAAAAGAGGAAGUUUGAGGGGUCUGCGAAGCCCGAUGAGAGAAGCAAAUCAAGUACCAGGAAGUUUAGAGGAGGAGGGAGUGAAGAAAGAUGGUGCGAGAAGUGCAAAAAGAAACACUCUGGAAAAUGCAGUGAGGAAGUAACUUGUUUCAAGUGUGGGAAGCAUGGGCAUUAUGCCAACGAGUGUAAAUUCAAUAAAAGGGUGUGUUACGAAUGUAAUGAGGAAGGACACUUCAAGCAAGAUUGCCCAAAGAGAGAGGGGGCUACAAAGCCAAAUGUGCCGCCAAAGCCAAAGGCGAGAGCAUUUCAAAUGAUCCUUGACGAAGCAGAUGACAAUGCGAGGAUUCAGGAGUGACAACUUGACAUCCAAAGAUCGAGUUAUGAGGUAGCCAUAGAAUCGUAUGAUGUAGCCUGUUAGAGGCAUAUUCUAGGGUGAACUUGAACACCUAUGUAAUAGUUUCAAGGAAUAAUAAAAACCUUCGUUUUGAUAUCUGAUGUGUUAAGCUGUUAUAUGAUUUUCUUGUGUGGUGACUUGGAAAACUGUGGGACAAUACCUGAGACGAGUAUGAGUAGGUGUGAAUGGUAGUAGAGGCCUAUACUACCGGAAGCACAGGACUCACACUUGGAUCAGGGAAAGUCACAAGGUUACCAAGAAGCUAGUAAUUGAUUUCGUUUUAUUCAAGUGUGUUGUUACCAUCGUUUCGGUAAUGACUAAGAAGAUUGUUGAUAUUCCGACCCUAGUGGUCAUAUCGAAUCGAGUCCGACUACGAUGAGUAUGUUGUGUGGUUCAGAGAACCAAGUUUGAUGUAGCGUCCGACUUAAACCAAACGGUUGAAAUCAAAGCGAUCAAUAGAAGUAUCGCACUCGUUGUUAAAGAAGUUGGUGGCUAGAAAUGCCUAAUGUUAAAGUGUGAUUAUAUCACAUUAGAACAUGAAGGAAGGCAUAGUCUGUUUUAGAAUUUAACUCUAAGAGACCUAAGUCUAAGUGUUGCAACAUACGAUGAUAGGUCAUUAGAAUAUGACACAUCGAUCUAUAGUAGUAAUAAAAGAACUUAUCUCAAGUCCGUAUCCAGCAAGGAUCGAGAUUGUGACUUGAAGGUCAUAAUUUGGAGUCUAACCUGAGGUAGAGAGCAGGUGCACGAUCGAGUACUCUUACAGUCAAUGAGUUUAAGAGAUAGAAUUGAAGGAAUGUAGAAGUUAUAAUUAUUACCUAGGAUGAAGAGAUGACGUAUGGAGUCAUUAUACGACCCUGUUUCGUUGAUGAUUCCGGGACGUAAUCAUCCUAAGGGGGAGAUAAUUGUAACGCCCGCAAAUCUGGGCUAGUCAAAUUAGAGGCAAUAGGGGUCGAAAACGACUUUUCGACAAAAGAUUAUUUAGAAUAAAUAAUCUUAAUCAAGUUGUAGAGUAUGUUACAAGGUUUUCGUACAUAUAAAGAACGCCGAAAACCGAGUUAUAACGAAGAAGUUAUGACCCGUUGAAGUUUCGCGACGGAACCGGCACGAUACCGGGAAGCGUAAAUAGUGAAUUUACGAUAGAGCGAGAUUUAGCCUUAGCGAUCUAAACGAAAGUCGUAGAAUAUGUUAAACUAAGAACAUCGAUAAAAAGAACGCCCAAAUCUGACUUCGUAUGAGGAAGUUAUGAUUUUUCUAAGAUUUAGCAUAGCAGUGCACAGCCCGAAAUCUGAAUUUUAGAUCGGUCGAUUUUUAGCCGACGGGAUCUAAAUGAAAGUUGUAGUACUCGUAAAUACCAACGCGUGGAUAUAAAGAACGUCGAUAAUAGAGCUCGUAUGCAAAAGUUAUGGACGAAGCUUAGUCCCUACUUUUCGAGCGCGGCGAAUUCGAUACAGUUUUGUAAAUACGAGAUAGAAUGAGAAUUAGCCAACGAGGUCUAAAUGAGAGUUGAAGAUCUCAUUAAUAGGAACUCAACGGUAAAAAGACAGACAAAAAUGGAGCUCGUAUGCGAAAGUUAUGGACGAAGCUUAGUCCCUACUUUUCGAGCGCGGCGAAUUUGAUACAGUUUUGUAAAUCCGAGAUAGAAUGAGAAUUAGCCAACGAGGUCUAAAUGAAAGUUGAAGAUCUCAUUAAUAGGAACUCAACAGUAAAAAGACAGACAAAAACGGAGCUCGUAUGCAAAAGUUACGGACGAAGCUUGGAGACUACUUUACUAUACACUUCCUAUAAAUACAAGGGUGAACUCCUCAUAUUUUCUUCACACCAUAAGCCUUUCUUUCUCUCUCUAACUUCUCUCUAGCCUCCCUAAACCCCUCCCAAGUCUACGGAACCUCCCUAGCACGAGAAGAAAGCCCCGGAGCGCCCGACGGCUCCGAGAAGAAAAGCUUUCGGCUUGGAAACGCUGCUCCAGCGAAGCCCGGUUUUUAAUAAAAACUCGCUGUAAGUGAGCUACGCCUAUACUAUAUUUAAUAUAGAUUUUAUUUAAUUAUAGUAACAUUAUUAGGACCUUAAAAUAAUUAUUUGGGCUAUUAUUAUGAGUUAUAUUGAGUGUUAUUUAACGCUUAUAUAAUAGUAAUAAUAGCUAGACUAUUAAUUAGUCGUGGUUAACGUUAAAAACUAAACCCUAGUGGUAUUGAUACUAGGUUUUGUCGAGGAAAAUUGUUUUGAGAUAACGAAGUGCUGUCUGAGUUCGGAAUCACCACCUAAUCAGGUGAGUGCAUGGUCUCUUUCAUCUUACACAUAGAUAUGAAGUAUUUUAAUAUAAAUUACGUGUUAUGUGUGCAUAUUGUCUGAAUACUUGUUGUCUAUGCUGGUGAAAGAUUUUUAUACAUGUUUUAAAUGAUGUAAACUGUAUAAAGUAUUUUAUAUCUACAAAAUAUGUUGGGUAAAACAUGGGUAGAUGAAUGAUGAUGGAUAAAAGCUGAAAUAGAGGAACAUUAGUAGUACGGACCUAGUGCCCUAUAGGUAUACAUUGGCAGCAGUGGACCUAGUACCCUAUAGAUGAGCACUGGCAGCUGCGCCACAACCCGUAGAUGAUUUAGAUCUACGGUAAACGUCCUAGCAGCUGCGCUCUAAGGAUAGUAUCGGCAGUUGCGCCUAAUAGGGAGCCUUAUGACCAUGACAGUAGUGUUUAAAGGUCAAUACCGGCAGAAGCGCCUCAUAGAAAAUGUCCUAAUUCUGGCAGCUGAGCCUAAGUGACAAUAUUAGCAGCUGCGCUUGACCAAUGUGUCAUUGGCAACAAUGGACUUCAUGUUGUUUCCUUAGGAUGAUCCUUAGGAAUGAAUGAAUGAGAAAUAGCUGAUUCUUAGGGUAGAUCCUUAAGAAUAAAGAAGAUAAUGGGGAUGGGUAAUUGGGUUGAUUGUUUGAUUGUUUAAACAUAAUAAUUAUAUUAUUGUGGGUUGAAAACCCUAUGUACUCACCAGGUUUCCCAACCUGACCCACUCAGUUUAUUUAUAUCACAGGUGUUGAUAUGAAGUGACAUUACACUGAGAGAUUUAAAGAGAUGUAGAUCACUAGUGUAAAUAAUUGUAAGUUCUGUUUAUGCUUAUGUUUAUGUAUUAACGAUGACAUCCCAAACGUUUUAAAAUGAAAUAAAUACGUUUCUUCGAAAAUGUUUUAAUAACGUAUUUACCAUGUUUUUCUGGGAACAAAUUCCGCAAC